rnacentral:lncRNA from 1 species
ACCAGAGAAACCAGCUUCUGUUCCUUCUAGAGAUGCCCAGAGCAGGCCAGCUUAAGCAUGCCCCUUUCUAUAUCUUAAGAAUAACUUCAGGGAAAAUAAUUUGUUCCUCAUUAUUGUUAUGUGUCUAUUAAAUUACAUAUAAUUCCAGCCCUCUUUCUUAAUCACAAUUAGAAUGAACAAUAAGAAUCAUUUCAGCCGCUUUGACAAUUAAAGUUCUAAUGAAUGCAAUGGAAGUCAUAUGAUGAAGAUUUGGACAAUUCAUUAGUUGGAAGCAUAAGCACUUUAAAAAAAAACCUAAUGAAGUCUUUAGCUAAAUUAUUCAAAACAAAACAAAAAAUGGGACAGGAGGGACAGAUGCCAGAAAUAGGCCAUAUUCUUCACAUUAAAAGAAAAAAAAAUGUGAUGAGAGAAAUUCUGAAAAGGAUCUAGGAACAUACAGGAACUGUGUCCCUUCCCCGCUUCCUCUGUUCUCUUUUAAUUGAGUUGUAAUUUCCUAUUGUAAAGUGCACACAUUUUAAUCAAAGCGUGCGACUCCAUGAAUAUGUACACACAUGUACACGCCUGUGUAGGCACCAUUGAGAUAAAGAACUAGAAUGCUUCCAUCAUUCCAGAAGGUUCUAUUGUGUCUUUUUCCACACAAUCAGCACUUCUGGAAGCACCCAUCCAUCUGCUUUCUAUCACCAUAGUUUGCUUCUUCUAGAACUUCAUGCAAAUGGAACCCUAAAGUAGUUAGUGUUUGGACUCUGGCUCCUUUCCCUUAACAGCAAGCCAUGCUGUUCCCUGUAUCAGCAGAUCACCUCUUUUUAUUGCUGAGAGUGAUUCCAUGGUAUGAAUAUACCACAAUUUGUUCAUCCAUUCUGUUGACAGACAUUUGGAUUCUUUCCAGCUUUGGACUAUUAUGAAUGAAUCUGCUUUGCACAUUGUUGUUGCAGGCACGUUUUUUGGACAUCAACACUCCUCCCUAGGAGUGGAAUUUCUGGGUCACAGGGUGGACGAUGAUUAAUUUCAUUGCCAUAUGAUUUUUUGGCUAGUUCUGUUUUUUUUUUUUUCUUCUGUUUUUACAUUAUCACCUUAUAACUUAACUGUUCAGCUCAGACUUUACCCACCAGCAAAAGUCACAACAUUUAGAAAAAUUUCAUAUCAUUCGAUUUCCUCCUGACCAGUUCAACUCUCAUUUCAACUAAAGAAAAACUGAUAACCCCAUCAGUCAAGUGGACAUCACGUUUGGCCCCCUGUUGAGGGUUGAGUGUUUAAAAAAGAAAGAAAGGAAAAGAAAGAAAAGGAAGGAAGGAAGACAGAAAGACAGAAAGAAAAAGAUAGUGAUUUACUCAGGAAAUACUAAGAGGAAGGCAGAAAUAAACCUGAACAGCUGAAUUUGUUUUCUCCCAGGUGCCCAGGAGCGGUCUUUGGGAACGUCCCACUGCCAGGCUUGGGUGCGGUGUGCAGAGGCCACCGCCUCGGGCUGCCUGGCUGCGCGGCGCCACCUAGCGGAAUCUUGGCUCGGUGCCGGGCUUGCUCAGCCCCUCCCUUCCUCCGGUUUGUGAAAAUCACUCAGCGUCCUGGUGACAUCUUUUGCCAAAAACCGGAGGGAGAGAUCUUCUCAGCAUUCUUGGUUUUACUCGUGCCCGGUUCGGGUUCCCAACCUCUCUGUAAAGGGCCCCUCAGUGAGCCCUUGGCCCCUAGUCCUCGUUGUACCUUUAUUCAGCCCGUUCUCCUGGCAGCCCCACUGUACCUUCACCAGGGACAGCAGCCAGAGCCCAGAGCCAUGCAAAACGGAGCUUCCCUCCUACCCUCAGCCCUCUCACUGUCCCUCCUCCAUCCGGAAAUCUGCUAGGAUGGAGUCUCAUUUUAAAAGUCCUUCAGGGAAGCCAGGAAGGGAACUGACACUUAAAUGAGAAUCUCAUGGAUUAGGUGUGCUAAAUUGUAAGACGUUUUAUAUUUAAUGACCCCCCAGGUCACACAGCCAUUCUGGAAAGAACCAUAUCUCAAACUCAUCAUUGGCUGUUUCCUCUCAGUACAACAGCCCUUUUCUGGAGCCUGUUUCUCCCUCUCCUUUAUUUUCUCCUCCAGCCCACCCUUUUCACAUAUUGUCCUGCUCUCUGGGAUGCUCAUAAACUGUCACUCCCCCUGCUUCAGAUGCCAUGUGUCUCAUGGUUGGAAGGAACUCUACCCGGCCCUUAAAGCGAUGGACAUGGCCAGGGCAUGGCCUGGUCCCCUGGCCAGUGGUCCCGAGUCUCCUUGAGAAACCCUGCGCAGUUGUGAGCAUGCCAUUCUCCCCUGCGACCCAGGGCUCCCUGCUUUUGAAAAAAAAGAAACUUUCUGGGAUUUGAGAUACUUUGAUUCUUUAACUCUACUCUCCCAGGAAGUGAUGCUUUGAUGAAGCAAAUAGGAAACAACAACAACAAAAAUAGAGCAGAAAGUGUCCUUGAAAUUCACUUAGUUCUCGGUUCUAUAAUGAUGAUGGAAGAGAGUAUCUUAGGGGCUUGUCUAGCAUGAUUUAAUGAUGCCAAUAACAGAACAAUCAUGCUUGUCUAGCAUGAUUUAAUGAUGCUAAUAACAGAACCAGGAUGGGUUACCAGGUCUUCUGUGGUUCAGGGAUUGUCCCCAUGUGGAAAAAGGCACACAGGUUGUCCACAGGGGGUGUACGAUAUAUAACGUGAUUAGAAGAAGGUCUGGUUUGAGGUUGGAGGAAGGGUAGCAAAUUUAAGAGAAAUGGUCACCUGUCCAGGGGGGGCCUGUGAGUCAACAAGUAUGUCCUUGACCAAUCAGACACUCUAUUAUGGGUUCAUUGGUGUCCCCUCAAAUUCAUAUGGUGAUGUCCCAACACCCAGUACCUCAAUGUGAGCUUAUUUGGGGAAAGGGUCCUUAGGUAAUGACCUGAUAGAUGAUCAGGCUAAAAUGAAUUCAUUAAGGUGAGUCUUAAUCCAGUAUGACUGGUGUUUCAAAAAGGGGGAAUUUGGAGUCAUGCACGCAGGCGGAGUGUCACAUGAAGAUGAAGGCAGAGGUCAGGUGCAGUUUCAACAAGCCACACUGCUAAAGGUGGCUAGCAAGCCACCAGAAGCUAGAGGGAGGCCUGGAGCAGAAUGUCCCUCACAGCCCUCAGCAGGAACCAAGCCGGGCAACACCUUGGUCUUGGACUUGCAGCCUCCAUAGCAGUGAGACUCCAUGUCAGCUACUUAAGCCCCCUCCCCUCCAGUCUGUGGUACUUUGUUCUAGAAGCCCUAGGAAGUGAACACACACUUGACUGUGCUUGCAGGGGUGCUGAAGACAGGGGCAAAUUCAGGAUGCAGAGGACCUGUCUCUGAUCAUCAUACUUCUCUGUCAGCAAGGGACUGUGUCUGCUAAAGACUGCAACGCCUUUCCUCCUAAACUGAAUCACACUAGAAAUGACUAUGAAUUGAUUAUUAGAAAAGUGGAAUUUUGUCUCCCAAACCAUUCAGAUUGAGGAGAAAUAGUCUAUAUUGGCAGGAUGAAGUCCAGGGAGAGGGAAGUGUAGCACCUGGGGCAUAAAAUGAAAGGAACCGACUCUGCUCGAGGACCCCGUGCUUCCCUUAAACUCUGCAACCUACAUGCCUCCUCUGGCUUCCCCUCAUUCACACCCUGUACAUGUGUGCUUGGAGCCAAAGAGAAGAUAAUAGACAUGAAGAGUAUCUGGAAUCUGGAAAUGUACAUGUGAUUGCGGGGGACAGGGGUCACAAAACAUAAAACGAUUAUAGAACAGGCUCUUCUAGCUGUGAGCUGUGGUGUAGGUCUCAGACGUGGCUCAGGUCCUGCGUUGCUGUGGCCGUGGUGUCGGCCGGCAGCUACAGCUACGAUUUGACCCCUAGACUGGGAACCUCCAUAUGC